AUUGAACGCUGGCGGUAGGCCUAACACAUGCAAGUCGAACGCGAAAGUCCUUCGGGCGAGUAGAGUGGCGGACGGGUGAGUAACGCGUGGGAAUCUACCCUAGAGCGGGGGACGAACCCGGGGAAACCCGGGCUAAUACCGCAUACGUCCUACGGGAGAAAGAGGGCCUCUGCUUGCACGCUCUCACUCCAGGAUGAGCCCACGUCCGAUUAGCUAGUUGGUAGGGUAAAGGCCUACCAAGGCCACGAUCGGUAGCUGGUCUGAGAGGAUGAUCAGCCACACUGGGACUGAGACACGGCCCAGACUCCUACGGGAGGCAGCAGUGGGGAAUAUUGGACAAUGGGCGCAAGCCUGAUCCAGCAAUGCCGCGUGUGUGAAGAAGGCCUGCGGGUUGUAAAGCACUUUCAGUGGGGAAGAACAGAUUCGGGUCAAUACCCCGGAGCCCUGACGUUACCCACAGAAGAAGCACCGGCUAACUCCGUGCCAGCAGCC
rnacentral:rRNA from 1 species